ensembl:lncRNA
AUACUGGAGUGGUAGCCUUUCCCUUCUCCAGGGGAUCUUCCCAAUCCAGGGAUUGAAACCAGGUCUCCCGCAUUACAGUUUUACUGGGUGUGAAGACUUAUGUUAUUAUACACAGAAAGCAAGCAGUUUCAGUAGCUCGCAAACCAUUGGUCUGUCCAUCUCCCAGCUGCUUACGUAUGCAGAUCACAUGCUCCAGGGGAAUCUAGGUGCCAAUUUGUGAAAACACUCAAAUGGCCACAUAGACAGGCCACAUGUCAAGGAGUUGAGUUCAUCUAACAAUCAUAAAAGAAGUGAGGCUUCCUGACAAAGUAAGCUGUUUUGGAAGCAGAUUCCCCAGUCCCUAGUCAAGCUUUCUGAUGACGACAAUCCUGGUUGACAUCUUGACUACAACUUCUUUAGACACCCUGGCCUAAAACUACCCAGGGCUCAACCCCAAUAGGAUGCUUGGAAAAGGCAAGUUUGGAGAUGGGAGUGGUUCUCAGUCAUCUUCAGUGAUGGACCUGCACAGACAGUUUUGACAGGAGAACACAAACCGCGAGUUGUGAAUAGAAAACAGAAGAGAACUGGACAGUCUGAGCAGAGGCUCCCAAAAGCAUACACUGGCAGCAAGUAUUUGGCAUCUCUUGAGGAAUGUUGAUCUUUUCAACGAGUAUUCCUGGUUAGUAAAACCAUCUCUGCUACAAUAGCCACAGCAGACUGAAAAGGCAACUGCAGGAGCCACUGAAAGCAAUCAGAUGCGGUUACAGGAAGGCUGACCACGCAGUGGAUGCGGCAGCUUUUCACGCUACUCUCUCAUUGCCUCGGAACCCUGACAUAUGUUCCCAGUAUUGAAGGCAGUUAUCAUAUGGCUCCUUUGCAUCCUGCCUCCUUUGUGUCAGGAGUCAUUUCUGAGCAUGUCCAAAUAAGUGUUAUACUGUACAAUGCUUUCUAAUAGUAGACACUUCUUACCACUGAAUCAGUAAAAUAUCUUGAGAAAUUAGCA